CCGUGGAUGUCUACGGCUCGUCUGAAAUGCUUCAGUGUACCCCGCUUUGCGGCGUAUUCGGUGUGAUACAUCUUCACCGGAGUUGAUCCUUUGUAGGGUCGCGUCUGUAAUGUUGUGGCUCUAUGCUUCCAACCGUCUUUUAAUUGGACAAUCUCUGACAAUUUGACCUCAAAUCGGGUGGGACUACCCGCUGAACUUAA
rnacentral:misc_RNA from 1 species